UGAGAGUGCACGUGGAGAUGUUCUUUCCCCC
rnacentral:piRNA from 1 species